UUAACCUAAUGCCUUGAACUCUCAUCAGUCCUAAUAAAAGGUGAGGGGUCAGCUUGAGGGCUAUCCUGCAAACUGGGCAAGCCGUGGUGAUGCAGAGUGCUACCGGUUAGGCCACUGGGCUGGCCUGGCAAUAGUUUUUAGCAGAGUAAAAUACCUGACUUUGACAGCCAGCAUGCUGGUUUGUGUGUGCAUAAUUUGCUGUGAUCAUGCUAUAAAUCAAGAUGAGACUGCUAAAAUUAUGUAUGACCUCAUUUGAUAGAUUAUCUAAUAAGGAAUUUGCUAAUGCAGUUUAUCACUUAAAAAGCCAUACGACUGCUAAGGAUGGGUACUUUGCUGCAGCACAUUUAAACCUAAUUGUCAGAGGAGAAAAGCAAGCGGAUUUCAGAGGUGAGUUAGAAGAGCAUCCUUAUGAGGAUGAUGUCUUCACUAAAUCAGUGGUGCAAUGCAGCAAGCAGGGUGGAAAGGAGUCUCCUCUGGAUAAAGUCCUGUGACUCAUUUAAAAAGACUGAACAUCACUUUGACGUACACAAACAGAACUAGAAAGCGGCUCAAGCCAAUGAAACAAAGCUUGUUUUGCAGG